ACACAGCUAAAUAAAUUAAUAUACAUACAUGAGAAGGAAAGGGAAGAAUGAGACAAAUCCCUUUGUAUGUAUAUGUAUAUGUAUUCUAUCUAUCUAUUUUUUUCUU
rnacentral:ribozyme from 1 species